ACUGAAUUUGAGAAACCAGUCUCUCCCCCUUUGCUUUCACUCACGCAUAGCUUUUCCCGUUCUCCCUUGAAAACCCUAGCCUCCAUUGCGCCGGCGUUGGUCUCACCGUCGCCGCCUGGUUCGUCGUGCUCGAAGGCCCUCCCGUUCGCCCAACGCCAGCGUCUCCAGGUUUUGCUCCAAAGUCGUCCGUCCGUCGCGUUCGCCGCCAGCUCCCCGUCGUCCGUCUCCAGUUCACCAGUGUUCGUUGCCAGCUUCCCGUCGUCCGUCGCUCUCCCUCAAAUCUAUGGUCACUGCCCUCGCCGAAGGAAAUAGUUGGAGGUAUGUAAGAAUUAAGAAGGCAGACUAUCCCAACGAACCUUGAUUAAAACACAGCAGAGGCAGUGCUGAAAGCCUCAACCUUCUCUGUUGCCGCCUCUCGCCGGCCCACGUCUCGUUGCCGCGCUGCUCACGUCUUCCUCUGCAUCACCGCGCCCCUCGUGUCUUCCGCUGUGCCUCGCUGUGUCUUGGUUCUCUGUCUCCCUCUUCUCUGCGUCCGGCCAAGCUGCAAUGGUUACUUUUUGCUGAUUCUGACCCUCUCUGCCUUGUGCUUCCUCUGGCUUUGGUUCUGUGAUCGGAAUACUGUGACAUUUUAUUGGAACACUGAGGCUUUUGUUCUGCUUCUGAACUUUGCAGAGGAUCGGGUCAACCGGUUUAAGCUGUGAAGUGACCUAGUUGUCUGACUUGUUCAAUCAUCGAUUCAGUUCUGACAAGUAUGUCUGUGACUUAGCAAAGCCAAAAUGCUCUCCAAACUAAGAUUCCUGAACCACUUCGUCCACAAGAAUCUUUCUACACGAACCACCGCUUUCAGUGGCUUCUACCGCUUCUCCAACAGUGGCGCUUUCUGCACCGUGGCUGAUUCAACCACACAGCCAACCCCCGAGUCGUACGAACUCCCUGAUUGGGUCAAAUUCUCCGACAACCCAACCUCUCCCAAUGGCGACUACGACGAAGACUUCGUUAUCCCUUCACUUGCUCCUUGGGUCGACGGCCACCUCCUUCAUCCCACUCCCAAAUUUGUCAUCACCCCAACUUCCCAGCCAAACAACCUUGAAGAGGUCGAAGCAAUCACCACUCGUCUAAAGGAAAAGCACCCAUCUCCUGAGAAAGUUGCUCAAGCACUUGCUCAACUGAGUGGUUUUAAGGUUUCAAAAGGUUUGGUUGAACAGAUUCUGAAGAGAUUCAGUAAUGAUUGGGUCUCGGCUUUUGGGUUUUUCUCAUGGGCUAAAGUUCAAACAGGUUAUGAGCAUUCUCCUCAACUAUACAAUUUCAUGGUCGAUAUCCUGGCAAAGUCGAAGAAUUUCCAUCUCAUGUGGGAGUUAGUGGAGGAAAUGGCUCAUCUUCAACAAGGGUAUGUUACCUCGGACACAUUGGUUAAGGUUAUGAGGAGGCUUGCAAAGGCUGGCAAGCAUGAAUAUGCCAUUGAAGUGUUUCGCAGAAUGGGGAAGUUUGGUGUCAAACAGGACACAGCAAUGUUGAAUGCUCUCAUGGACGCAUUGGUGAAAGGGAAUAGUGUUGAGCAUGCCCAUGAUGCUCUUUUGGAGUUCAAGGGUUCGGUUCCCUUGAAUUCCCAUUCUUUCAAUGUUUUGAUACAUGGGUGGUGCAAAGUUAGGAAAUUUGAAUGGGCCAAGAAAGCAAUGGAGGACAUGAAGGAACAUGGGUUUCACCCUGAUGCGUUCUCAUACACUACUUUCGUCGAAUCAUAUUGCCGCGAGAAGGAUUUUCGCAAAGUGGACCGAGUUAUGGAGGAGAUGAGGAAAAAUGGUUGCACCCCUAAUGCUGUGACUUACACAAUUGUGAUGCUUGCUCUUGGGAAGGCAGGGCAGCUCAAAGAAGCUUUGGAGUUGUAUGAAAAGAUGAAGGUUGAUGGGGGUGUGCCUGACACUGCAUUUUAUAGCUCCUUGAUAUUCAUUCUUGGCAAAGCUGGUAGGAUUAAAGAUGCUCGUGAUGUGUUUGAGGAUAUGCCAAAGCAAGGUGUUGUGAGGGAUGUGAUGACUUACAAUACUAUGAUUAGUAUUGCUUGUACUCACCAGAGGGAAGAGACUGCCCUGAGGUUGCUCAAGGAGAUGGAAGAUAGCACAUGUAAGCCUGACCUUGAGACAUAUCAUCCAUUGUUGAAGAUGUGCUGCAGGAAGAAGAGGAUGAAGGUGCUCAGGUUUCUGUUGGAUCACAUGUUGAGAAAUGAUUUAAUCCCUGAAGUGGGAACUUACACGCUUUUGGUGCAUGGUAUGUGUAGAAGCGGAAAGCUUGAGAGCGCUUGCUCAUUCUUUGAGGAGAUGGUGUUGCAGGGAUUAACCCCAAAGGAAGUCACGCGGAAGCUCCUGCUGGGAGAACUCGAGUCCAAGAACAUGAUCAAAGAGAAACAACACAUCGAGGAUUUGAUGGCACGGGUCCAACGCAACAAUCUCGUUGCUAGUUAGUGGUGUUUUCGGAAGCAGGAUUCAGUUCCAAGAAAGCAAAUUUUCCUUGCGAUUGGAUUCCGUCAUUUCCCAUGAGAAAAAUGAUACCAGUAACAGUGGUUCCUAACUUUUGCAAAGUUGGAUUCAUUAAUUUGUAUGCUAUAAACACCUAUUUUGUAAUUUUAAGGCAGGUGCGUUUUAUAAUACUUAUGGUAUAAAAUUCCAUUAAAGCUCUAAGCGGACAAUGGAAGGAAAUCACCCAGAGAGGGGAGGAAAAAAAAAAAGAAAAUCUCCAAGAUUGAAAAGCAUUUUGUAUUGGAUCUAUUAUUCUAUUUUUUGGGGUGAUUAGAUCUAUUAUUCUAUUUAAAGUGAAAAAAAGAAUAAUAUCAAUUAAUUUUUAAUUUUCUUUCA